rnacentral:rRNA from 1 species
UACGUAGGGUGCGAGCGUUUGUCCGGAAUUAUUGGGCGUAAAGAGCUCGUAGGCGGUGUGUCACGUCGGCCGUGAAAACCUGCAGCUUAACUGUGGGCGUGCGGUCGAUACGGGCAUCACUGGAGUUCGGCAGGGGAGACUGGAAUUCCUGGUGUAGCGGUGAAAUGCGCAGAUAUCAGGAGGAACACCGGUGGCGAAGGCGGGCAUUCUGGGACCGAUAUGACGCUGAGGAGCGAAAG